rnacentral:misc_RNA from 1 species
GAUGAAGAACGCAGCGAAAUGCGAUAAGUAAUGUGAAUUGCAGAAUUCAGUGAAUCAUCGAAUCUUUGAACGCACAUUGCGCCCCCUGGUAUUCCGGGGGGCAUGCCUGUCCGAGCGUCAUUACAACCCUCAAGCUCAGCUUGGUAUUGGGCCCCGCCGACCCGGCGGGCCCUAAAGUCAGUGGCGGUGCCGUCCGGCUCCGAUCGUAGUAAUUCUUCUCGCUCUGGAGGUCCGGUCGUGUGCUCGCCAGCAACCCCCAAUUUUUUUCAGGUUGACCUCGGAUCAGGUAGGGAUACCCGCUGAACUUAAGCAUAUCAAUAAGCGGAGGA